CCUUUGAUAACCUGAUAUACAGCAUAUCUUGGAAAAUACAAACUGCUCUAAAAUAAAGAUCAGACAGAAGUAGGUCUGCCAUAUAUCUGGUGUGUUUACUCAUCCUACCACACCAUUACUUAUGCAGUUCUGGAGUUGGAGGAUACCUGGGGGCUUUAAUCUACAAUAAAUAUCUCCCUUACACUUGUUCAUUGUACCAAAAAAUGUCUACUCUUGUUACUCCCUCAACAUAACAGUUAUAACAAUUUUCCAUAGGAGAAAGAUGGAUUUUUUUGGUGGGAAAUAUUCUCAGGUGCUUUGCAGCCAGGCAUUUGUUCAGUGCAAGGUAGUGUUCUGAAUAUUCUUUCUCUUGGAUUAUAACCUCCUGUUGUCCUUUGUUUUCUUUAUGGUCACAGCUGUGAUUUUCAACUUCAAAAGUGUGUUAAUGAGGCCAUACAAUUGAAAUGCUACCAUUGUAGGUCAAAAUGAAUUUUGAAUUUGGAAGCUGCAGCUGUGGGAUUUGAGAAAUUCAAAAACACAAGACUGAACUGGCAAGCUAUUAGCAGAAGGAAAGAGCAAACAAACUCCAGGUGGCUGAGAGAAUUGCAAUUUGUGUUACAAUGCAGAAAUUUUGACCUCAGCAAUCAUUAGAUUAUAUAAGCAAGUACUAUAUGAUGGCACCUAAAACACUAGAUCUUACAGGCUAAGGAGAAAUUUGAUUUAUUUUUUUUUUUUCCUGCUUAUCUAUCACCUUGUGUUUAAUCAUGAAAUAGUAAAACUUCUAAUUGAGUGCAGUUGGUGACACAAGUUGUUGGCCAGUACAGUACAAGCCACGUAUGCUGAUGGUUCUGAAGAAGAGACAAGACAUCAAAGACCAGCCUUUGCUAGAAUCCAUAAAAGAGAGCAUCCAUGGAAAACUACCUAACAAGCUAAUCAAGUACUUUUCAGCUAUGGAGCUCACUGCUGCAGGAUAUUAUCAAAGUCAAUAAAAUAAUACUUAUUUUUAAUACAUUAACUGUACAUAACCAGAGUAUUGUGUGUGUGUGUGUGUGUGUGUGUGUGUGUGUGUGUGUAUAUAUAUAUGAGUUUUGGCUGCUGUGUUAAUCUUCAUGAUUAAUGAUCUGUGAGCAAGUCAGCCAAUAAUUUUCUACUGUAGAAUUCUUUCUCUUUCCCCCUAUGUUUCAAGGACCAAAUAAUGGUCAAAUAAUGGGACGGUGGCCAAGUAAGACUACUGAUCUGAUGCAAUAAGACAUCUGUGUUCCUACAAUAGAAGUAGAAAAUACCCUUACAGGAAAGACCAAACCUUUGAAGCCAAAUUUAUCAUGGAUAUUAAUCCACUCAGUGAAGCCAAGAUUACUUCUUAUAAUAGAUAACUUGACCUUUUAAUUUCUUCUUUAGAUUUCUUUGUUUUCACGCCAGUGUGUAGGAGA
rnacentral:lncRNA from 1 species